CUUAGGCACUCAGCUCAGCUCCCACUGCAGGUCAAGCCUCUUUCUAAGGGAGGAGAUGUGCAGGGUGGUACAAAACUAGUCCAGCUCCCUCCCCUAGGCACAGAAGCUCUCUGCCAGUUCUGCAGCACCUAGGAACCCAGUAACUAUGCAGGGGAGGACUCCUAGUGCCCAGUCCUGUCUUUGCUUCUGCACAGGGUGUUCUCCCCACAUGCCCAGGGAACCCCGUGGGACCAAGGCUGUGAUUCCCUGUGUGCUUCCAAGAACCCUAGCAGGAGCACAAGGUCUUGCUCAUCCCAGGCUGUCUCGUGGGACUGGAAGGGAAACCAAGGACCCUGCGGUGUUUUGGACAUGAUGAGGCGCAUUGUAGAAGGCUGAAGAGUCAAGCAAUCGUAACCCUAGAGGGGAAGUGGCACUUUCUCCAACUCCAGGAAAAUGAUCUUAGCAAAGCAGGAAGGCAUCUGGGGCCCCGGGCUCCUGGAAUCAGGUGUGCACUGAGCAAACCCUGCUUAAAGGAGGCUUUUCUGUAUUUUUCUUCUCACCACAUCCUCCUCUUCUACCUUCAAGUGAAAGCAGGAAGAGUAAAUAAAAAAGAAGGGAGUGUCAGAGACUCCCGGCAUCUGUACUGCGCAGUUUUUGUUGGAGUGGUGGCGGUGGAAAGCUCCGCAGCAGCAUUUCUGACCUCUACCCACUAAUGCCAGUAGCAAUCCCUCCAGCGGGCAGAACCAAAAUGCCAAGAGUCUCCACAAGUUGCCAUAUUUCCCCUAAGGACAGACUACACCUCGCAUUAAGAGCUCUGACUAGAGUUGCAGCCAGGAGGGUGGGCACUGUCUGAAGAGGUAGGGAUGGUCUUUUGUGUUUAUCUAAUAGUUUAUAAUUUACGGAGCAUUUUCCUGCACCUCUGCUCAUGUAUUUCCCAUUACUAUUUGUUUUGGGCUACUUUACGCUUCCCUUCUCAAUUUAAAUGUUGCACUUUUAACUUGCACUACCUCAAAAAGUGACUUAUUUGGGUCUUUAAAGAGAUAAUUAAGAUAGGUGUGUUAGGAGAUUCCUGUAAUCUUAGCAUGUGGGGAGACUGAGGCAGGAAGAUCAUAAAUAGUGACAUAGGGAGACACUGUCAAAAUAAAAAGAAUUUUAACAAAAGAACUGAGGAUGUAACUCAGUGCAAAGGCCUUGGAUUAAAAAAAUAUAGUCAUCUAGUGACAGUUUUAACCAUACAAAUAAGUCAUACAGUGGGUGCUAAUCUAACAAAAUCAAAAUCUUUGUAAGAGGAAAUUAGGACCUCUUUCUAAGGGUCAGACAGAAAAGAUUUUUCUACUGAGAGAAAUGGUUGGUUUCUUCCUUUAUGAUCAGCAUAAAAGGCAACAGAACCUCCUUUGAACAUAACUUUUUAUUUACUAAGGUUGAUUCUUCAUUUAUUUUGUUAGUAACAACCUGGGUGAUGCUAACCACUCACUCUUACUCAUCAGAGGUAGAAGAGAUAUUCAUGGAUGAAGUUUUAGAAAAUUUUUUCUAAUCAUUUCUUUCCCUGGCUUUUAUUUCAGGAAAAAAAUUUCUCCAUUGUCUGUGUUUCUUUCAGUGUUCGUUUCCAUUUUUCAGAAUUUCUUGUGAAAAAAAUGCAGAUUUGUACAUUUCAAUAAAACAGAACUUUUGUCCCUGGUAAACAGAACACCACACCCACUAA